UCUCCGUGGGUGAACCUGCGGAGGGAUCAUUACAGAGUUCUCGCCCUCGCGGGUAGAUCUCCCACCCACUGUUAUCGUUACUGUGUUGCUUUGGCGGGCCGCCGGGCCCCGCUCGGCCGCCGGCUCCGGCUGGCGCGCGCCCGCCAGAGGCCCAGCAAACUCUGAAUGUUAGUGUCGUCUGAGUACUAUAUAAUAGUUAAAACUUUCAACAACGGAUCUCUUGGUUCUGGCAUCGAGAAGAACGCAGC
rnacentral:misc_RNA from 1 species